UACAGAGGGUGCAAGCGUUGUUCGGAAUUACUGGGCGUAAAGCGCACGUAGGCGGACUGGAAAGUCAGAGGUGAAAUCCCAGGGCUCAACCUUGGAACUGCCUUUGAAACUCCCGGUCUUGAGGUCGAGAGAGGUGAGUGGAAUUCCGAGUGUAGAGGUGAAAUUCGUAGAUAUUCGGAGGAACACCAGUGGCGAAGGCGGCUCACUGGCUCGAUACUGACGCUGAGGUGCGAAAGCGUGGGGAGCAAACAGG
rnacentral:rRNA from 1 species